rnacentral:rRNA from 1 species
GAUGAACGCUGGCGGCGUGCCUAAUACAUGCAAGUCGAGCGAACAGACGAGGAGCUUGCUCCUCUGACGUUAGCGGCGGACGGGUGAGUAACACGUGGAUAACCUACCUAUAAGACUGGGAUAACUUCGGGAAACCGGAGCUAAUACCGGAUAAUAUAUUGAACCGCAUGGUUCAAUAGUGAAAGACGGUUUUGCUGUCACUUAUAGAUGGAUCCGCGCCGCAUUAGCUAGUUGGUAAGGUAACGGCUUACCAAGGCAACGAUGCGUAGCCGACCUGAGAGGGUGAUCGGCCACACUGGAACGGAGACACGGUCCAGACUCCUACGGGAGGCAGCAGUAGGGAAUCUUCCGCAAUGGGCGAAAGCUUGACGGAGCAACGCCGCGUGAGUGAUGAAGGUCUUCGGAUCGUAAAACUCUGUUAUUAGGGAAGAACAAAUGUGUAAGUAACUAUGCACGUAUUGACGGCACCUAAUCAGAAAGCCACGGCUAACUACGUG